ACGUCUCAAUUAUAUAAAAUCAUAACAAGAAUUUAUCCUACAAAAGGUUCUAUCAAAACUCUAGAUAACAGAUUAGCUAUUCAUAAUACUCUAGUAUGUAAAACUACAAUACUAAAAGUCAUAACCAACAAUGAAAAAUAGGAAGAGGAAGGAAAAAACUUGUCGAAGAAUUCCCAAGCCUUGCUCCUAUUGUGUCUCUGCCUCCUUAGAUCAAAUCUAUGUAAAAAAUAUGUCCCCUCCUCUCAAAAUAGGUUUAGGACCCCUUUUAUACAAGUUGGAAUAGUUUAAGGCCGAAAUAAACUUGUCCCGGACGAAAUAGGACUCCUAUUUGACGCUUGGAGCGGCGCGAACGUGGCCAAAACGCGGCAGAACCGCGGCCAGAUCACCUCUCUGAUUUUCUGCCGCAGUUCUACCGCAGUCGCGGUGAAACAGCGGUGAUUCACCCAGUUCCCUUUAGAACUAGAAAAAACGCAAAAUAUAACAGUUGUAGCCAUGUGUGUUAGCUUUCCAACCAUAUAUUAUGGAGCCUAAAUGGAGUUCUGAGCAAAACGUUAUGACAAUUUUACUAGACAGUGCGCAAUGUGCCUCAUCGAGUCUUUGUUUGUUCUCAACUAUCAAAUUGACCCCCGAACACGUUCCCGGCUUAAUUCCUUGAGAUUUUACUCAAACUUCAAAGAUUCAAUUCACUUAAAUUCAUUCCAUAACAUCUAUAUAGCUCGGAAUCAUACCUACAAGGCAUAAAACACACAAUUAGUGCAAAACACUAGCGAAAAAAGCGCAAACUCAAUUAAAGUGGCCUAUCAUCACCAACCCAUCUCAACUCAUUUAAAAUUGGGCUAUUUUUUAGCCCAAAUUGAUCUAUGAGUAAGUUUGUCAAAAUAUCUUAGAAAUAAUUUUAUUUUUUGUUUAAAAACCUUAAUUAGUAAUUAUACAAGUUAUAAGAAAAUAAAACAUAUUAAUUAAAGUUUAAUAAGAGUUUGGGUGGUUGGAUUAUGACCCAAAUCUUAACCCAUCUUAACCCAAGUAACUUUUGAGCGGGUCAUUUAUUUAGUAACUAUACAAUUUAUAAGAAAACAACACAUAUUAAUUAAAGUUUAAUAAGGGUUGGGCGGGUUGGGUCAUGAUCCGAAUUUUAACCCUUCUUAGCCCAAGUAACUUUUGGGUGGUUCGUUAUUGACUCAACCCAUUUUAACCCGCCCAAAAUUGACCCAACCUGCCCAUUUGACACCCUUAGAUAUACCACAUUUGGAGAGCUAGGAAUUUUAAAAAAUUUCGAAGGCAAAAAUGUACAUAGAACAGAGAUUGUAACACUUAUAAAGACGGAAGUAACAGAGAGGAUACAUCAUAUGAGGAUGCCAAAGAAACCACAUAGGUGUAGGAGUUUUGUCCAGCGGCUACUUUGUAAUUAGAAAUUGUUGGUUUGGGGGCCUAUGAUCUGUGAUCGGAUAAACGUUGCCUUAUAAGUGUAAUUGUGUUGAUGUUAAUGGUAAUAUUUUACAUUAUUACCAAAAAAAAAAACCUUUAUCAAAAAUAUAACUUAUAUAUAUAUCGGCUAGAAAAAAAAAAUUGAGACAGCUAUUAAUAUUAAGAAGAAGAAAAUAGCAAAAACAAACCCAAAGCGAGCCCCUUUUGAGUAUACAAUGACAAGUAGAUCAGGUUAGCAAGGUUCAGCUAAACCAGCUCGGUAAGAAAGUGGAUCGAACCGGCCUGGUACAAGACUAAGGGAUCAGUGCCGAGUUGGGCUUAUGAAUCGUCCAGAGUGUGUUCUUCAAUACUCAAAACAUGUAGUCUAAAGUUUAAGAUCAUGCAGUCUAAAUUAUUUGUUAUACCAUCCACAUGUGGAAUUGGAUACAAACAUUUUCAGUAUGCCUAAGAUAAAUCCGGGUUAAUUUCCCUUGGGAAGACCUCCCUUUUGGGUUGAUGUGGUCUACUGCCAUCACCCAACCCAAUGUUUUCUUCUAGUCCCUUUUACAAGAAGAAAAACUUCUUGGUCCAUGAGUUUCAUCCAACAAGAUAACUCUCUUUUGUUUGAGUUCCUCUAGCGACAUCAGACAUCAGAUAAGACAGGUCGAAAUUUUAAAAACACAAAUACUCGAAAUGAUAAGAGACACAGUUCAGGGGACGAACCUUAAAAAGUUCAGCACUUGUGGUGUAUUCAGAGCUGCAUAAUUUGAUACCAUAACUGAUUUUUAAAACAUCCUUCUCUAAGGUUUGAACACUGCCGAGAAAACAUGCUGUUGAGCCACUGCGGGCAAUGCCCAUUACAAGCAACUAUCUGGACUAUAGGAGAAAAAUUAAACCGCUGGCGAUUACCACAUUAAGGAAACUGGUGUUAUUCCAUCUUUAAAGGUUUUUCCAAGAACAGAAAAAUCUAAUGAGAGCUUGACCUUCUUGGCUCUGCAUUUCGCGGCUGCACUAUAACCUUCGAAAUUAGCUCGUUCACACGGGGAAACAUUCAAAGAGAACAUGAUAACCUUCACGACAAACGAAAAGGAAGUUACACUGCAGUGGGAGAUUCUUGAUUAAAUAAGUCAAUUUUAGUUAUUCAAAGAUAAUUAAGAGAAAAUUUGAUCUAGAGCAAAUUUAGUAGUGGUGAAAUGAAUUAGUACAGCAUUGGAGUGCAUAAAUCGACUCCUUACUCUUAACUACAGCUGCACAACAGUUAAAAGUUUGAGCCACAGAUGAGAACAACAUUUGAUUUAAAGCAAGUCAAGGAAGUAUCCUUAAAGAAAAGAAGAUUGGACAAUCAUCAGCAUGAGAAGAGUAAAACUGUCAUGAUUGAAGCAUCAAACACAGUAUGCAUUUAAGCUUCAACCCAUAAUAGUAGGCAAGGAACAGAAAGUAGAUUCUUAUAUCAGCGCAGAAACAAACAAUUCAAAAUUUAAGUAGAAGACAUCCGGUGUACUGAUGACUAAUGCUACACAGAUCAAUGGCUUAAGGUGCCAUAGAGAGUUCCAGGGGUUACUAACUCUGGAUAUAAUAGGACAGUGUGACUAGUUUAAGGUUUUGUAGAUCUACCAAUUAUAUGGAGCAUCUGUCUAUGUUUAGGAAGUGAUUGACAUGCUUCAACACCCAAAGCAUCCUUAAAUCCAUUAUUUGGAGAACAUUUCAAUUGUCUAAUGAAUAUUAACUAAUACAUGAAAUUCAAAUAAAAAGGAUGAUAUUCACUAAAAACAGAGAAAAGAGUGAAUAAGUAAAUUUUGAGAAAAUCACUCAAGCAGUUCAUAUGGCUUAUCCAAAAAGAUGGCAAGCUCACACAAACUAAUGGCCACGGUAAAUGUACGUAUGUAUGUAUAUCGGUCCACAUAUGUAUUAGUUUAACUAAGUGCAGCGAAAUUCUCAAGCAUAACAAGAAAAAAAGCAAUAAGCUAAACUAAAAAGUACCCAAUUUCAACUUCAGCAGCUAUCCCCUAGCAACUGCAUUUGGGCGGCAUAAGACUAAGCAAAGCUGCCGAUAAAACAUAUAAGCCCAAUACUCAAUAGUGAGGUAUUGAAGUGUUUAGUGAGGAAACUUCAGAUUUCCACAGUUUGUCAACUCACUUUCCUAUAUCAAGACAUCCGAAAAUGAAAACCAUACAGAUCGGCCAAAAUGCUAAAACAAAUAUGCUACUAUGAAAAACUUGAUAAGGAGACCAUCCAAGAGAUAAUACUUUAUCAAUAAACACAGAAGUUGAAACCCCUAAAAUAUAACCAAGAUCCAAUCUUUUCCUUCCCCCUACCAUGUGCCCAAAGCCACUACAAGCAGAGUUCCUAAAGGAGAUGGCCAUGCAAAAUUCUCAAAUAAAACCAGAUCUACAACUCAAUCUCAGCUGAGCAUACUCUAUUUUCAGCAAAUAUUCACUGCCCUAAAUUCAGUCGUGCAGAACACGUAUAAACCAAUCACCAAUAAUCACAAUUAAAAUCUCCAUAACAGCAGACAAAUAAAAUUUCAACAAGAUUGAGAGCUCAGAUGUCAUACCAAAAAACCAAUAGUGCAACUUAUUUAGCAAAUGGAGAAAAGGGAAAGAGAGAAAUGAUGGGAAGCCACAGGAAUGGGUGGCAUAGGAAAGAUUGCAAUUUAUAUUAUGAAAACAUAAAUAUAU
rnacentral:lncRNA from 1 species